rnacentral:rRNA from 1 species
UACGUAGGGUGCAAGCGUUAAUCGGAAUUACUGGGCGUAAAGCGUGCGCGGGCGGUUGUGUAAGACAGAUGUGAAAUCCCCGGGCUCAACCUGGGAACUGCAUUUGUGACUGCAUCGCUGGAGUGCGGCAGAGGGGGAUGGAAUUCCGCGUGUAGCAGUGAAAUGCGUAGAUAUGCGGAGGAACACCGAUGGCGAAGGCAAUCCCCUGGGCCUGCACUGACGCUCAUGCACGAAAGCGUGGGGAGCAAACAGG